rnacentral:rRNA from 1 species
AGAGAACCGGAACACAGGUGCUGCAUGGCUGUCGUCAGCUCGUGUCGUGAGAUGUUGGGUUAAGUCCCGCAACGAGCGCAACCCUUGUCAUUAGUUGCUACGCAAGAGCACUCUAAUGAGACUGCCGGUGACAAACCGGAGGAAGGUGGGGAUGACGUCAAGUCCUCAUGGCCCUUAUGGGUAGGGCUUCACACGUCAUACAAUGGUCGGGACAGAGGGUCGCCAACCCGCGAGGGGGAGCCAAUCUCAGAAACCCGAUCGUAGUCCGGAUCGCAGUCUGCAACUCGACUGCGUGAAGUCGGAAUCGCUAGUAAUCGCGGAUCAGAAUGUCGCGGUGAAUACGUUCCCGGGUCUUGUACACACCGCCCGUCACACCAUGGGAGUGGGUUUCACCAGAAGUAGGUAGCCUAACCGCAAGGAGGGCGCUU